UCAAAAAUAUGUUCCAGAAUUUUAAAAAAUGUUUCGAAAUUUUAAAAAAUGUUCUGAUAUAUUUACUGAAUUGUUUCGGAUUCUUCAACUACUAGUCGCUAACUUUUUUUUAGUCUUCAGAUUCGCUCUGGUCGGUCCAGUCGGGGCUAACUUGGGUCGGUCCAGUCUGAGCGACCCCCUGUGCCCUGUGCGUCCGCUCGGCGGUUGCCGCAACCAGCGACGCGGUCCCCGAACUAGCCACCAUUUCUUCCCACGACUUGGACGAACCCUAGGCGAACCUGCGUGCCGCCAUCGCUGCCCGCCGCCGCCACUGCUCGGCACCGCCACCCGCCCUCGUGUCGGUCGAUCCUAUCGUGUCGGACACCCCCUUCCAGUCUGUUGCCCGUCCCUUAUAUCCCUUGUGCGGCCGUGCGACAUCAGGUUGCGCCGCUUCAGGCUGCUGCUCUGUCUGGUGAGGCACGCGAGCGGUGACUCCGACGAGAUGGGAUUGAUCUCUUCCGCAGACGGCUCCAUCCCCCACUUGAUGGUAUGUGGAGUAAGAUGCAAAUUGUUGCCAACGGUAUUCCUUGUCCGCAGGAACGGAUCAGGUUGGCUGGGCUCAUAGCUCCACCCGCAAGUUCACUACCAAGUCCAUGUAUAACCAGCUUGAAAAAAAAACAUUACAGGGUGUGACUUUCAUUGGAUUUGGAAGGCAAAGAUACCAUUGAAAAUCAAAAUCUUUCUCUCGCAACUUUGCCGAGAUGCUAUCUUGACUAGUGAUGUCAUGAGAAGAAGGAAUUGGCAUGGUAAUAACAAAUGUUCGUUCUGUGCUAAGCGUGAGACCUCGCAUCACUUGUUCUUUUUAUGCCCUACGGCUAGGAUGGUGUGGUGGAUUGUUGGGGCAGUCUUCGCAAUACUACUCCUGGUGCUAUGUUUUCUUGCCUGGUGGUUCUAAGUUCUAUACUUUUGGCU